GGCCCCGUAGCUCAGCGGAUAGAGCAGAGGUUUCCUAAACCUCGUGUCGCCAGUUCGAUUCUGGCCGGGGCCU
rnacentral:tRNA from 1 species